AUUCAAGAUUUUUUCUCCCUUUUUUAUUACACUGCACUAUAGCCUACAACCUCGCUGGACGGGCAUAUCAAAAUUGACGUUUUUUAUGAAACAAAAAGGAAUUUUGGAUGAAAGCUGUUUGUUUUCCAGCCAGCAACCAGCACCAAAGCUCAAAUAAUUAACAAAAAUAGUAUCACCAGCUGCUUAAAAACACUUUUCUGCGUGACAAUCUGGCAACCCGUGCCCACAUCGAUCUGACUGAGCUAUCAGUCAAAGCCUAAACCUCACCAAGAGCAGAACUAAAGCUGAGAGCUAUUAUCUCUUCUAUAAAAGUCUUCAGACAUUCCUUACUGUACAUGCUGUCAGUGAAGGGUUGCCAGAUUGUGUCCACCUGGAGGAGUUCUGAUGCUCGUGUCGUGAUAAAGUCCGAAAUCUCGUUUAACAUGAACAGGACUAGUUAACUAGUUACUUCUUGGCAGCUGAGGAACAUUUCUUAUUCGAUUUGAUCAAAACCAUCGUGUUUUUUGUACACAUUUCUGAUUUUCUCAACAUCUAAACAUCUCCAU